AACAGAUAUGUGGAUGGACAAGGGA
rnacentral:piRNA from 1 species